rnacentral:misc_RNA from 1 species
GAAGUGUUGCCACUGAUGACAUCAAAUAUAUCUUGAGGCCAGCGAUCAUCAACAAGACUUACAUCAUAAGCAGUCGAAGUUCCCUGAUUGUAGAUGUCUAUGGAGACGGAGACGCGUUCGGAGCCGGAUUUGAGCCUGUUGAGAGUGGCCUUCUUAUUGGCUACUAUGAAGGGAACAUCUGUGCUAGCGAGCGACGACGACACCAAAAAGAGUGCUAACAAUAUCAAGAUUAGCGACUUGCUAAUUGGAUUUGUCAUUGAUUAGUGCUCGCGGCGGAUGAUGGUGGCGCUGGUGGUGGCGACGAGGAGGAUUUCGAUUCUGAUUUGGUUGAUUUGUCUAACAGAAAUGAGAAGG